rnacentral:rRNA from 1 species
UGGAACCUACGGGGGGCAGCAGUGAGGAAUAUUGGUCAAUGGCCGAGAGGCUGAACCAGCCAAGUCGCGUGAGGGAUGACGGCCCUACGGGUUGUAAACCUCUUUUGUCGGGGAGCAAGACCCGCCACGAGUGGCGGAGCGAGAGUACCCGAAGAAAAAGCAUCGGCUAACUCCGUGCCAGCAGCCGCGGUAAUACGGAGGAUGCGAGCGUUAUCCGGAUUUAUUGGGUUUAAAGGGUGCGUAGGCGGGACGG